GUGUUCGCUUUGGCAGCACAUAUACUAAAAUUGGAAUGACACAGAGACGAUUAACAUGGCUUUGUGCAAAAAUGAUGAGCAAAUUCAUAAAGCAUUCCAUAUUUUU